GGUCAACUGUUUCUGUCGUUAAAUUUCUGUCUACUGUUCACCGCUAUUCUUAUGUCGUCAUUUUAAAAAUAGAACAGAAUCUUACAAAAUCACUAAAUUGAAACUCUUAUAACCCUAACGUGGAGGCCAAUUCGUUUUUUCUUUACGAACUGAUUUCAUCUUCUCCUUGAAUGUAAAACCACAAAUAUUUUCUUCUUUAUAUGAUGAGACCCCAAAAGUUUCCUAUACGCCGAGGCAGAGGUAGAGAACGUGAAACUCCACUGGUUUUUGAAGGUGAUGAAACAGGGCCGAGUGCAAUUGACGGAGAUGAGCGUGAACUCAUACCUGGUGAUGAUUGUGAGGCUAUUGCUGAUGAUCCUGCUGAUAAACUCGAAGAAGAAACGAACGAGGUUGAAGAAGAAGAAGAUGUCAGAAUUGAUGAAGAAGUUUGUGAGGUUUUAUCAUCACACUUUGGAGAUGUUGCAAAGAAUGAUGGAGAAGAUAAUGAUGACAGUGGAGAAGAGGAUUGCUGGACAGAGGCUAAUAUACCUGAUCCUAUAUCAUCUGAUGAUGAGGAAGAAGAUGCGCGACGGGAAGCUCGUGAGGAUGCAGCAUCAGCUGAUGAGGUUUUAUUCUUGGGAAAGACGUUUUCAUCUGCAUCUGAGUUCAAACAAGCUCUUCUUAGGUAUUCUCUGAAAACAAGAUAUGAUAUUAAGCUCUACAUAACAACACAAAUGAAGCUUGGUGCUGUUUGUUCUGACACUGAGUAUGAUUGCCCUUGGAGAGUGUAUUGCUCGUAUGAGAGGAGGAAACAUAAACUGAAAAUAAUGGUUUAUGUAAAUGAACAUGCUUGUGUACGUUCUGGUUCCUCAAAGAUGUUGAAGACUUCAUCAAUUGCGCUGCUGUUUACGGAAAGAUUAAGGUUGAAUCCUAAGCUCACAGCUAAGGAAAUUUGUGAAGAGAUCAAGAGAACCUACAACUUGACUGUUACUGAAGAGCAAUGUCGAAAAGCUAAAACUAAAAUCACAAGGGAAAGGAGAGCAGGCCAUGAAACUCACAAGCUACCCACAACACACACUUCGAUGGCAAAUCUCUCUUUCCAAAAUCUCGUUUUUCUAACGGAAUCAAACUCUUCUCUUUCACAUGAUUUUAGCCUGUAAUAAGAAGAGAAGAGAUGAAAUCAAGUCGCAGAGAAGACAAAAAGAUACAAAAUCGGGUUGCACAGGAAGAGAACAAGAGUGAAAUUGAAUUGGGGCUUAGGGUUCUAAGGGUCGAUUUGAGGAUUUUUUUUAACUUUGUUAUGUUCUAAAAACG
rnacentral:lncRNA from 1 species